ensembl:snoRNA small nucleolar RNA SNORA61
AUCUUUUAGUUCCUGUUUCCAUUGGAUCUGAACACUGAUCCUGAUGGUCAUAAAAGGAGGAAAAAUAAUGCUGAAGUUAGCCUCACAGUCUUGUAACAUGGCAAUAUAUUGUGUGGGCUACUUGCAAACAGGG